UCAAGUUAUUAAGGGUGCAGGGCGGAUGCCUUGGCACUAGGAGCCGAUGAAGGACGUGAUAAGCUGCGAUAAGCUUCGGGGAGUUGCACGUAAACUUUGAUCCGAAGAUUUCCGAAUGAGGAAACUCACUUAGAGUAAUGUCUAAGUAUCAUUAAGUGAAUACAUAGCUUAAUGAGGGGAACUCAGGGAACUGAAACAUCUAAGUACCUGAAGGAAGAGAAAGAAAUUCGAUUCCGUAAGUAGCGGCGAGCGAACGCGGAUUAGCCCAAACCAAUAAAGUUUUCUUUAUUGGGGUUGCGGACAUAUCAUAACGAAGAGGUAUCGUAAUUGAAGAGGUUUGGAAAGACCCACCACAGAAGGUAAUAGUCCUGUAUGUUAAACGAGAAGACUUCAGAUAUGAUCCAGAGUACCACGGGACACGUGAAACCCUGUGGGAAGCAGGAGGGACCACCCUCCAAGGCUAAAUACUACCUAGUGACCGAUAGCGUAUAGUACCGUGAGGGAAAGGUGAAAAGAACCCCGGGAGGGGAGUGAAAUAGAACCUGAAACCCUGCACUUACAAGCUGUGGAAGCACAUUUCUUGUGUGACCGCGUACUUUUUGUAGAACGGGCCAACGAGUUACGUUAAGUAGCAAGGUUAAGCACUUAAGGUGUGGAGCCGUAGCGAAAGCGAGUUUUAACUGAGCGUUCAGUUACUUGACGUAGACCCGAAACCGGGCGACCUACCCAUGAGCAGGAUGAAGCGAAAGUAAAAUUUCGUGGAGGUCCGAACCCACGAGCGUUGAAAAGCUCGGGGAUGACUUGUGGGUAGCGGUGAAAUUCCAAUCGAGCCCGGAGAUAGCUGGUUCUCCCCGAAAUAGCUUUAGGGCUAGCCUCAAGGUGAGAGAUACGGAGGUAGAGCACUGAAUGUCCUAGGGGGUAUUGCACCUACCGAAGACUAUCAAACUCCGAAUGCCGUCAUCUUAUACUUGGGAGUCAGACUGUGGGUGAUAAGAUUCAUAGUCGAAAGGGCAACAGCCCAGAUCGUCAGCUAAGGUCCCUAAAUGUAAGUUAAGUGGUAAAGGAUGUGGGAUUGCACAGACAACCAGGAUGUUGGCUUAGAAGCAGCCACUCAUUCAAAGAGUGCGUAAUAGCUCACUGGUCGAGUGAUCCUGCGCCGAAGAUUUCCGGGGCUAAAACUUACUACCGAAGCUACGGCAUCAGUAAUGAUGGGUAGGGGAGCUUCCCAUACGGGUUGAAGCAUGACCGUAAGGACAUGUGGACAGUAUGGGAGUGAGAAUGUUGGCAUGAGUAGCGAGAUGUGGGUGAGAAUCCCACAGGCCGUAAACCCAAGGUUUCCAGGGGAAGGUUCGUCCGCCCUGGGUUAGUCGGGACCUAAGCUGAGGCCGAAAGGCGUAGGUGAUGGACAACAGGUUGAUAUUCCUGUACUACCGAUAACCGUUUGAGAGAAGGGAUGACACAGUAGGAUAAGCUAAGCACACUGUUGGUUAUGUGUGCCCAAGCAUUGAGGCAGUCAAAGUAGGCAAAUCCGCUUUGAUAAUGCUGGGAUGUGAUGGGGAGCGAAAUUUAGUAGCGAAGUAGCUGAUUUCACACUGUCAAGAAAAGUCUCUAUCGAGGUUAAAGGUACCCGUACCGCAAACCGACACAGGUGGGUGAGGAGAGUAUCCUAAGGCCAGCGAGAGAACUGUUGUUAAGGAACUCGGCAAAAUGACCCCGUAACUUAGGGAUAAGGGGUGCCACCAUCAGGUGGCCGCAGAGAAUAGGCCCAAGCGACUGUUUACCAAAAACAUAGGUUUCUGCUAAGUCGCAAGACGAUGUAUAGGAGCUGACGCCUGCCCGGUGCUGGAAGGUUAAGGGGAUCUGUUAGAGCAAUCGAAGCAGUGAACUUAAGCCCCAGUAAACGGCGGCCGUAACUAUAACGGUCCUAAGGUAGCGAAAUUCCUUGUCGGGUAAGUUCCGACCCGCACGAAAGGCGUAACGAUUUGGGCACUGUCUCAACAACAGACUCGGUGAAAUUGUAAUUCCGGUGAAGAUGCCGGAUACCUGCGACAGGACGGAAAGACCCCAUGGAGCUUUACUGUAGCUUGACAUUGGGUCUUGGUACUACAUGUACAGGAUAGGUGGGAGGCUUUGAAACCAGGACGCCAGUUUUGGCGGAGCCAUCCUUGGGAUACCACCCUUGUAGUACUGGGACUCUAACCAUAGGCCAUGAAUCUGGUCUUGGGACACUGUCAGGUGGGCAGUUUGACUGGGGCGGUCGCCUCCCAAAAGGUAACGGAGGCGCUCAAAGGUUCUCUCAGUACGGUCGGAAAUCGUACGUAGAGUGUAAAGGCAAAAGAGAGCUUGAUUGCAAGACAUACAGGUCGAGCAAGGAUGAAAAUCGGACUUAGUGAUCCGGUGGUUCUGCGUGGAAGGGCCAUCGCUCAACGGAUAAAAGCUACCCUGGGGAUAACAGGCUUAUCUCCCCCAAGAGUCCACAUCGACGGGGAGGUUUGGCACCUCGAUGUCGGCUCAUCACAUCCUGGGGCUGUAGUAGGUCCCAAGGGUUGGGCUGUUCGCCCAUUAAAGUGGUACGCGAGCUGGGUUCAGAACGUCGUGAGACAGUUCGGUCCCUAUCCGUCGCAGGCGUAGGAAAUUUGAGAAGACCUGUCCUUAGUACGAGAGGACCGGGAUGGACGUACCUCUGGUGUACCAGUUGUUCUGCCAAGGGCAUGGCUGGGUAGCUAUGUACGGAAUGGAUAAGCGCUGAAAGCAUCUAAGCGCGAAGCCAACUUCAAGAUAAGAUUUCCCACAGUAAGGGUAAGACCCCAGAAAGACUAUCUGGUUGAUAGGUCGAAGGUGUAAGUGCAGCAAUGUAUUUAGCUUAUCGAUACUAAUAGGUCGAGGACUUGACCAA
rnacentral:rRNA from 1 species